rnacentral:rRNA from 1 species
GACGAACGCUGGCGGCGUGCUUAACACAUGCAAGUCGAACGGAAAGGCCCUGCUUUUGUGGGGUGCUCGAGUGGCGAACGGGUGAGUAACACGUGAGUAACCUGCCCUUGACUUUGGGAUAACUUCAGGAAACUGGGGCUAAUACCGGAUAGGAGCUCCUGCUGCAUGGUGGGGGUUGGAAAGUUUCGGCGGUUGGGGAUGGACUCGCGGCUUAUCAGCUUGUUGGUGGGGUAGUGGCUUACCAAGGCUUUGACGGGUAGCCGGCCUGAGAGGGUGACCGGCCACAUUGGGACUGAGCUACGGCCCAGACUCCUACGGGAGGCAGUAGUGGGGAAUAUUGCACAAUGGGCCGAAGCCUGAUGCAGCAACGCCGCGUGCGGGAUGACGGCCUUCGGGUUGUAAACCGCUUUCGCCUGUGACGAAGCGUGAGUGACGGUAAUGGGUAAAGAAGCACCGGCUAACUACGUG